rnacentral:ribozyme from 1 species
AUGUAUUUGUGUUUUCCAUUAUUUUUCUUCUUUUCUCCUGUUUUGAUGUACUGUUGGCGGCAGGGAUGGAAGGAGGAGGAGGAGAGAGCAGGGGUGUAACGAAAUACUAUACACUACUCCUCAUUUUGAAAUCAUGUUGUGGACGAAUCAGUGAAAAAAAAAAACAAAGGAGCAUUAUCACA